GCGGGCCGAAGCUCGCUAGAGGCUUUCGUUAGUGAAAUGAUUGAUCUGGUUGUUGGGAGGAUGUGAUAUUUUAAUAUGACCUACAUAGAUUUUAUAUUACCACAUUUCUGAUUGUUGGGAGCUGUUUUUUGAUCAUCGUUUUAUGAAAAUCAAUGUUUGAUUGCGAAACGCAACAGGCACUGCUGCAAAGGGGUCCUUGCUGCAGAACCAAUCAAAACUCGUAACAACGUCACGUGACUUGAUGUCUCCCAAUGGCAUUCCUCCAACUCAGGAACUAGGAAGUAAAUAUUGCCUCCGCUCUAUUGACAACAAUGGACUUUGUUCGCACUUGAUGCUCAACCUUGGACGACACUACAGAUAUCUUCGAGGCCUAAUCUAAUCUAACCUAGCCUGAGGGGUCUAUCGUAAUCUUGCAAGAUCAAAGAUUGAGCUGGACACCCCUGCACUGUAGUUACA